rnacentral:snoRNA from 1 species
UGCAAUGGGUUCAACUGUCCAACUUUGACUGGUUACAUGAUGAAUAAAACAAAAAAUCACCAUCUUUCGGCUGACAGUUGUG